rnacentral:rRNA from 1 species
UGGGGAAUAUUGGACAAUGGGCGAAAGCCUGAUCCAGCCAUGCCGCGUGUGUGAAGAAGGCCUUAUGGUUGUAAAGCACUUUAAGCGAGGAGGAGGGUACUGGUAUUAAUACUACCAGGUACUGGACGUUACUCGCAGAAUAAGCACCGGCUAACUCUGUGCCAGCAGCCGCGGUAAUACAGAGGGUGCGAGCGUUAAUCGGAAUUACUGGGCGUAAAGCGCGCGUAGGUGGUUCGUUAAGUUGAAUGUGAAAGCCCCGGGCUCAACCUGGGAACUGCAUCCAAAACUGGCGAGGUAGAGUAGGGCAGAGGGUGGUGGAAUUUCCUGUGGAGCGGUGAAAUGCGUAGAUAUAGGAAGGAACACCAGUGGCGAAGGCGACCACCUGGGCUCAUACUGACACUGAGGUGCGAAAGCGUGGGGAGCAAACAGG